GGGUAUAAGCUGUAAUUCUCAUAAGGUUUACUAUGUAGUCAACUUCUCCUUCUCCUCCGACGACUUCUUUCGCCGUCAUCUCCUUAGAUCGAGACUCCAUCAAAUCUGUUCCGCUUCUUCUCCUCCGACGAGACCUGCUACCGUCAUUUCCGUUAUCAGCUACUAUAGACCGAUACACCAUCGUUUUUGUCAGAUAUCUUCCCCUUCCUCUCCUCCGACGACUUCCAUCAGCGAUUAGAAACUCAAAUCUAUCAAAUUUUUCUGUUAACGUUUUCGUUUACAUUAUCAGCAACCAUAACAUAUUGCAAACCAGAUCUGAGAAUGUGAUGCUUUUCAGUUGGCGUCUUCCGUCGACAUCGGCCAUUUACCGCCUCCAGAUCCGGCAUCACUGUCGAACCUCACCGCAUCGUCUACCAACAGACGGUGAUUUACCACUGUGUUAGACCGCCGUUUCCUCCACCGCUGCUACAUAUCACCGUUGUCUCCGGUGAGUUGACAACAUUGGUGAAAAGACGAGAUGAUGUUAAAACUACAAAAGGAAGAUGAAGGUCGGAUAGAGAAGGAGAAGUUGGUCCGGAUCUACAAUCGUUGAUAUAGAUCUCUAUUGAUGAUAGAGAAUUGAAACUACAUCUGGUGGUGUGUUUCCGAUGUAAUAAGAAAGUCCCGGUUGUAAGUUUCAAAUCCAUAAAAAGUUUCUCCAAUUGUGUUAUUGAGAUGAUCAAACAAUUGCAAGGUACACUCUAUCUAAAGUUUCGGAUUUUUUUUUCAUUUGCCUAAUAUCGUUUUUUUCAAUUGAUUGGAUGGAGAUGGUAACACCUAAAUUGCUAGCUGUCACAUAAUUACAACCUACAACAUAGUCCUUUUACUCUUUUAGGUUCAGUUGUCUAAUUACUAGUUCCCAUGUAGCCUUUUUUUUUUUUAUCGGUUCAAAAAAAAUGUAGCCUUUUUUAUAUUUUUUGAUUCUAACGAAUUUAUCUAAGUAUUAGAUGGAAAAGUUAUUAAUAAUCAUCCGGCAGCAAUUGUUCUAAGUUAAAUUUUAUAGACUAUUACAUAUUUUUAUUUUAAACAAAUCAAAUAGCUUGAAAUAUUAGUAUUCUAAACAAAUAUGAAUCGUUUCACUUUUAGAUAAUACAAACUUAAUUUAAGGAUAAAUUACAUAUUAAUAUAUUUAGUAAAUAAACUUUUGACUUAUUUUGUGGAAUUUAACAAUACAAUUGAAAUAAAAUAUAGUGUUAGAAUUUGGUAAACAAGGUGCUUAAUAAAAUGUAUUAGUAGAUUAUUAUAAGUCUUAAAAAAUGUAAAUAAAUGUCUAAACUGUUUUAUUAAAAUNNNNNNNNNNNNNNUUUGAAACAUUGUAUUAAAUUGUGAAUUUUAUUGCAUUAGUUGUGAAUUUCGUGUAUUAAACUAUGAAUUGACUCUAUUACGUUGUGAAUUUUUUACGAUUUUUUUUCUUAUUAAAUAUGAGAUGAAAGAAGCAUUAUACAUUUAUGCACAUAUAUGAUUUAAUCUAACUUUAAAUAAAAUAUGUAAAAUAUAAACAGUGAAUAUUUAUAUAAAUAAACUUUGAAAGAAACACUAGUCUAUAAAUUUAAAGAAAUAAAUGUAAGUUUUAAGUUGUGAAUGUAUAGUUUUUGUGUAUUAAACCGUGAAAUUAUUAUAUUAAGCUGUAAAUUUUGUGUAUUAAAUUGUGAAUUGACAGUAUUAAGCUGUGAAUCGACCAUAUUAAGUUGUAAGUUAUUAAUAAAUUUUGUGUUAAAAUAUAAAUAAUUUACGUAUGAAUGUUUGUAUUUAUUUCCUUAUGAAUAUAUGUAUUUUUUAUGUUGUAUAAAUAUGUAACAAUGUAUUUGUUUUUAUAAUUAUUUUGCACUAGACUUUGAAUAAAUGAAUUAAUUUGCUUAUUAAAUUGUGAAUAUAGUAUUUAAACCGUCGAUCAAUGAUUUUAUAUACAAAUUUACUUCAAUGAAAAACAUAAUUUUUAAACUAUUAAUGAAAGAUUUAUUAUGAUUUUAUAUAAUUUUGAAUAAAGUAUAUAAAAAGUAAACCGUGAAUAUUUGUGUAAAUAUUUUUGAAAUAAACACUUGCCUAUAGAUCUCAAGGUGUAAACAUAAGUUUUAAGAUGAUAAUAUGGCUUUGAAUGUAUAAUUUUUCUGCAUUAAAUUGUAAAUUCAAUUGAUUGUAUUAAAUUGUGAAUUGACUGUAUUAAACUGUGAAUUUAUAAAGAAUUUUGUUUUAAAAUAUGAAUGAUUUAUGUAUGAUUUUUUGUAUUAAUUUUUCUUCUGAAUAUAUAUAUUUUUUGUGUUGUAUAAAUAUGUUUGCAUUAAACCCUGAAUAAGUGAGAUGAUUAAUUUAUUAAAUUAUGAAUAUCAUAUUAAGCUGUCAAUAAAUUAUUUUUUAUACAUAUUUGAUUUUGAAGCAAUGAUGGUUGCAAUAGUGGCACGGAUGGUUGUUUGUGACGUGGGGUGGAGUUGGUGGUUGUAAAGUUUGGGCUCCAUUUCUCUAAAUUUAUGAAUUAAUGUAAAUUUGAUCGUAUUAAGUUGUGAAUUUUGUGUAUUAAACUGUAAUUGGACUGUAAUAAGUUGUUUUUUACAUAAACUUUAUGUUAAAAUAUAAAUGAAUGUAUGAAUGAAAAUAUUAUAUUACAAAUAUUACGGUUUUGCCAUUUUCAUACCAAAAAGACAAAUUAUUAUUUUAACAUAUUGAAUUUGUAUUCAUAAUACAUUUUUUUACNUAUAUAUAUAUAUAUAUAUAUAAUAUGUAUAAAAUACUUAUUAAACAUGUUAAAAUUCUAAUUUUUUUUUCUUUUUGGUACGAAAAGGGUAAAAUAGUAAUUUUUACAGUCUAAUAUUUUCAUUCAUACAUUGAUUCAUAUUUUAACACAAAAAUUAUAUAAAAUAUAAAAUUUAAUACACUUCGUUCACAGUUUAGAUACAAAAUUCACAACUUAAUACAAUCAUAAUAUCACUAAUUCCUUAAUUAGAAAGUCAAACCCAAACUUUACCACAAUCACCAACUACUAUACGUCGGCACCAACCAUAUAUGUCAAUGCGCAACCAUCAUUCCUUUCGAACCAAAUUGUAUAUAAAAUCAUGCAUUGUCUGCUUAAAUACUAUAUUUAUAGUUUAAUAAACCUAUUAAUUCACUAAUUUAUAGUUUAGUGCAACAAUUAUGAAAACUAAUACAUUCUUACAUAUUUACGCCACAAAAAAUACUCACGAGACAAUUAAUACAAUUAUUCAUAUUUUAACAUAAAAUUCUUUAAAAAAUCACACAUUAAUACAGUCAAUUCGCAUCUUAAUAUAGUCAAUUCACACGUUAAUACAUAAAAUUAACAGGUUAAUAUAUUAAAUUCAUUGUUUAAUACACAAAAACUAUACACUCAUAUCCAUAUUCUUUACUUAAAACUUAUAUUUAUACCUUCAGGGCUAAUGUUUCUUUCAAUGUUUAAUUUACAUAAUAUUCACAAUUUAAAUUUUACAAACUUUAUUCAAAAUUAGAGAAAAUAAGAUCUAUUUAUAAAGCUUCUUUCAUCUCAUAUUUUAGAAACAAACAAAAAAAAUAAUAACAUCUUAAUAUACUCAAUUCACACCUUAAUAUAUAUAAUUCACAAUUUAAUACACAAAUUCACAAUUUAAUAAAAUACAUUUAUUGUUAAAACUUACAUCUGGUGAUGUUUAGAGCCUUGGAGGUUGUAUUAGAUAGCAGUUCACACACUCAUCACAAUUCACGACUUAAAAAACCUAAAUUCGUAUUAUUUGAGAAAACACUAAUAUAAUAAAAACACAUUCUAAAUUGACAUUAAAACUUAUAAAAAUUCAUACAUUUACUGCUUAAAACUUAUAAAAAAAUUCAUUUAAUCACAACUAAAAGUUAAAAAUAAAAUCAUGCAUUCACAACUUAAUACUUACAAAAUAUUAUGCAUUUAUAACGUAGUACUUAUAAAAAAUCAUGCAUUCAUAGCUUAAAACUUUUUCUAAUCGAAACAAUCAGAUAUGUAUAAAAUCCAUGAAUUAAUAACUUAAUAGUUAUUAAAAAAACACUUAUUCGCAGCUUAGGAAACUAGUCUCUAGUCUAGAUAUUCAUUCAGAUCUUAAUAAACUAGUUCAGAAACUUAUUCACAUUAUUCAAAGCUUAAAAUAUAUACCUUGUUUCUAGUGAGGCAUUUCAUCAAACACCUUCAAUGCAUCUUUAUGUAUAGAUCUGAGAUUGUUCCCAUGCUUCAGAUCCAUGAGCACCAAUGCUAGGCUGCAACAACGGUGAUGUGAUGUUGGUUGUGGUAGAGGUAGAGUCACAUCGGCGAUGGUAGCAUCAGAUCUGGACGUCGAAGAUUUGGAGACGAACUACAUCUAGACUUCGUAGUAGAGUGUGACGUUUUUUGGUGUUCCGAUGAAGCACAAUAGCUAAUGUUAGGCGGUGGUCGUUGGUGAUAAGGUCGACGAUGGUGACACGAGUAAGAAAAUCGACGAUGAUAAUAGAUCUGAAGACGAAUGUUCUAGAUCUGAAGAUGGAGACUUCGGAUCUGAAGGGUAGUGGUCAGUGUUGUUGAGAUUGACGUCGAUUAUAAGAGGUUGUGGUGAGGCCGAUGAGAGCAGAUCUAAAGGCAAAUGUCCUAGAUCUAAAGGAAAAUGUUCUAGAUCUGACCGGAUCUUAACAGAUCUGGACUAGAAAUACCACUAGAAACGAGAAAACCCCAUUGGAAUCCUUUAGAUAUGAUGGAAGUGUUCGGAGAAGGACGUAACGAUGGUGGUAAUGAGUUUACCCGGCGGCAGCAGGCAGUGGCAUGACAGAGACGGUAGGUGAUGAGGGGUGGAUAGUCAUCGGAGGUUGGCGGUGGCAGUGUUGUACAAUCACCAGAGAUAGGUAGUGGUGGUUGUUGUAUAAGAGAGAAGUGUUUGAAAGUUGUGAAAUUUUGAAAAGUGAUGAGAGAGAGAGAGUGUGUGUGUGUGUGUGUGUGUGUGCGUGUGUGUGUGUGAGUGUAUGAUGUUUGGUGAGAGUGUUAGAUCUAACAUUUAAUGAUCAGAAAAAUGUAGGUUGGCGAAAAUACCAUUAAUGAAAGUGGUUGUUAACCUUUAGUGGUUCUCAUUUGAUCUUAUAUAUAUAUAUAUAUAUAUAUAUAUAUAUAUAUAUACACANUAUAUAUAUAUAUAUAUUGGCUUAGGUUAUUUUGUUUUUACUAAGUAUUAUGUGCCUGUGAAAUUGAUUCUCAGCCAAUCAUUUGGGGUAAUUUAAGAAAGGGUUUUAGAUUUAGUAACUAAUUAAAAAUAAUCAAUUUAAUGUGAUUUUGUGAAAGAUAACAGGUAUGAAGGGGUAGUAUAGUACAUUAGCAUCCCCUUUAGAAUAGGGAACUGGUUUUAUCUUUGGAAACCGAAUGCCUCCUUCCCCAUUUUCUCGCAAAGAUGAAACUCGAUUAGAAAAUCAACCGAAGACUAAAAAUCAUUCUGAUUUCCUUGUAUCUUCCAUAAAAUCAAAAGAUUCAGUGAAUGUUUUUUGUUAUACAACUGAUUAGUGAACCCUAGAAAAAGUAGAAG
rnacentral:lncRNA from 1 species